CUUGGUUGUUCAGUAUGAAGCAUAUGAAUCCAAGCUCUCGUUUGUGCUUCACUUAUGAGCAUUUCUGCAUUUGAGAAUCUUACACUAAAGGAUAAUCUGGACUAGCUGCUGAAAUGGGAUUCCUUGACCAUUCCAAAAGAAAAACCUUUUAAAAAGACGUGCAGCUGAUUUCUUGUGCAGUUGUCAUUUUAAAGUGAGGAACAGAUGUCAUGAAACAGGUUUCCUGAAGAGCUGUUUUGAAGUUCAAUGUGGAGGCCAAUCCAAGAAUUAUCAAAGAGGCGGAGUGUUAGUGGAGCUGAGGAGGUGCAUUUUUUUGGGACUUUUGUCAUGUCCACUGCUGCAAGGUCCAGAUAGUGCUCUCCCCUUCCCCCACCCUUUCUGUUUUCUUUUAGGUGUGCUUGGCACAGAGGCUGUGGCGGCAGGUGUUCAUAAUCCCUAAUCAGCAUCAGCAAGUGGAGCUCGUCCAAUCAAGAUUCAUCCCUGCUGCAAUAAAAUCAGAAAGCACUCACCAUUUUUCACCAGACCAUCAACGAUUAGUAUCUGGAUUCCACUUGUUCCUGCUCCUGUCUACCUGGUUCACUCGACUAUCUGACUCGCACUCCCUCCACCUGUGUUGGCUUCUCAACCUGGAUUCCAUUCACCUGGAUGAAACUGCCCUCCAAGCCUGGAAUCCUCUCUGCCAUCCACUCACCACGUCAAUUCUUUUCCUUUGCACCCUGAUGAGAAGUUCGCUAUCCUGAGUCCCUGUCUCUUCCAGUAGCUCAGCUAGUCCCCGUCCGAGCAUCUCAGCUUUCGUAGGUUCAGAGUUUCUUUGUGUAUUUAGCAUCUAGUUCUCAGCCUCAGGUUAAUAUUAGUACUUUGAGUAUUUUGUGAGUAGAAAUUUCUCUUCUAUGUAAAUUGUUCAAUCUCCAGUAGUUAAGGAGACUAGUUGCUUAGUUUUCUGGUAGUAUC
ensembl:lncRNA